UACGUAGGGUGCAAGCGUUGUCCGGAAUUAUUGGGCGUAAAGAGCUCGUAGGCGGUUUGUCGCGUCUGCCGUGAAAGUCCGGGGCUCAACUCCGGAUCUGCGGUGGGUACGGGCAGACUAGAGUGAUGUAGGGGAGACUGGAAUUCCUGGUGUAGCGGUGAAAUGCGCAGAUAUCAGGAGGAACACCGGUGGCGAAGGCGGAUCUCUGGGCCAUUACUGACGCUGAGGAGCGAAAGCGGUGGGGAGCGAACAGG
rnacentral:rRNA from 1 species